UACGUAGGGUGCGAGCGUUACUCGGAAUUACUGGGCGUAAAGCGUGCGCAGGCGGUUCGCAAAGUCUGAUGUGAAAGCCCCGGGCUCAACCUGGGAACUGCAUUGGAAACUAACGGGCUCGAGUGUGGCAGAGGGGGGUGGAAUUCCACGUGUAGCAGUGAAAUGCGUAGAGAUGUGGAGGAACACCGAUGGCGAAGGCAGCCCCCUGGGCUAACACUGACGCUCAGGCACGAAAGCGUGGGGAGCAAACAGG
rnacentral:rRNA from 1 species